CUUCAUGAUCAUGAUUCUGUACCUCUGGGAUGAAUCAACUAAGCAGUGGCAAAUGAAUUAUUUUACUCUCUUUUGAAAGAAGAAAAGUUCACCCAGAGAACUCUUCACUUUAUACAUCAGACACAGGGCGGCUGUCAUCUGAACCUGCUCGACCUUGCAUUUGCCUGCUGGAUUGGAGGCCUGCCUGGUGUGUGAUAUUUGAGCAAAUCCUAACGUGAAGGUUUUAAUUUCAGUCUAUCUGUCUUCUGCCAACUCAAACUACAGCAGAGACAGGUCAGCUCUCAGCCCUAUCACCAAGUAGACCCAGCACAUGAAAAAAAAUUCAGCUUUACUGUGAAAAAAAUUCUGUGGGGAUAAAAAGAAAACAAGAGCACUUGUGGAAAUCUAGCCUCUGUACUUGUCCACGUAAACUUCAAAUCUCCAGAAGAGAAAAGUCCAUCCAACUAGCCUGGUGACCUGUAUGGGAGUGUAAACCCAGAUCUCAGAGUUACCCUCUAAUC